GUGAGGAAUAUUGCGCAAUGGAGGCAACUCUGACGCAGCCAUGCCGCGUGCAGGAAGAAGGCGCUACGCGUUGUAAACUGCUUUUAACCGGGAAGAAACCCCAGGACGUGUCCUGGGUUGACGGUACCGGAGGAAUAAGCACCGGCUAACUUAGUGCCAGCAGCCGCGGUAAUACGAAGGGUGCAAGCGUUAUCCGGAUUCAUUGGGUUUAAAGGGUGCGUAGGCGGAGCGUUAAGUCAGUGGUGAAAUCCUGCAGCUUAACUGUAGACUUGCCAUUGAUACUGGCGCUCUUGAGUGCGCUUGAAGUGGGCGGAAUGUGCCGUGUAGCGGUGAAAUGCUUAGAUAUGGCACAGAACACCAAUUGCGAAGGCAGCUCACUAAGGCGAUACUGACGCUGAGGCACGAAAGCGUGGGGAUCGAACAGGAUUAGAUACCCGGGUAGUCC
rnacentral:rRNA from 1 species